ACCUCGAUAGUCUAAUGGCUUAGGACGCUCGUAUGGAAAACAAGAGAUUCGGGUUCAAAUUUCGGCCAAGAUA
rnacentral:tRNA from 1 species